rnacentral:rRNA from 1 species
CACAGCCACGGUAAUACGGAGGGUGCAAGCGUUAAUCGGAAUUACUGGGCGUAAAGCGCACGCAGGCGGUCUGACAAGUCAGAUGUGAAAUCCCCGGGCUUAACCUGGGAACUGCAUUUGAAACUGUCAGGCUGGAGUCUUGUAGAGGGGGGUGGAAUUCCAGGUGUAGCGGUGAAAUGCGUAGAGAUCUGGAGGAAUACCGGUGGCGAAGGCGGCCCCCUGGACAAAGACUGACGCUCAGGUGCGAAAGCGUGGGGAGCAAACAGGAUUAGAUACCCGGGUAGUCCCUGUCUCUUAUACA